rnacentral:rRNA from 1 species
GACGGAGGAGGCAAGCGUUAUCCGGAAUUAUUGGGCGUAAAGCGUCCGCAGGCGGCUUUUUAAGUCUGAUGUGAAAGCCCACGGCUCAACCGUGGAGGGUCAUUGGAAACUGGGGAACUUGAGUGCAGGAGAGAAGAGUGGAAUUCCACGUGUAGCGGUGAAAUGCGUAGAGAUGUGGAGGAACACCUGCGGCGAAGGCGGGUAGCUGGGCCGACACUGACGCUGAUGCGCGAAAGCCAGGGGAGCGAACGGG